rnacentral:misc_RNA from 1 species
AAGUCGUAACAAGGUCUCCGUUGGUGAACCAGCGGAGGGAUCAUUACAGGGCCAAACACCCUAAAACCACUGUGAACUUACCUGUACGUUUGCCUCGGCAGGCGGCCCCGGGGGGGCCGUCGCCUGGCCACAGGGCCUGCCGGGGGAUAAACUCUGUAGACCGAACUCUGAGCAAAAGACAAACCAUAAAAACUUUCAACAACGGAUCUCUUGGUUCUG